UAUUUUUAGUAUGUUCAAGAGAUUUCAUCUUACUUGAAAAUAAAAUAUUGAUACGAAAUACGU
rnacentral:tRNA from 1 species